GACGAACGCUGGCGGCGUGCUUAACACAUGCAAGUCAAGGGGGCCAGCAUGGGCAACCGGCGAACGGGUGCGUAACACGUGAGCAGCCUACCGAACUGUGGGGGAUAGCCGGCCUAACGGCCGAGUAAUACCGCAUACGCUUUCAGUGAGGCAUUUCAUUGAAAGGAAACCUACGGGACAGAUCGAGGGACUCGCGGCCUAUCAGCUAGUUGGCGAGGUAACGGCNCACCAAGGCAACGACGGUAGCUGGUCUGAGAGGAUGGCCAGCCACAUUGGGACUGAGAUACGGCCCAGACUCCUACGGGAGGCAGCAGUGGGGAAUCUUGCGCAAUGGCCUAACGGCUGACGCAGCGACGCCGCGUGUGGGAUGAAGCUCUUCGG
rnacentral:rRNA from 1 species